GAUGAACGCUGGCGGCGUGCUUAACACAUGCAAGUCGAACGAUGAACCGGGUGCUUGCACUCGGGGAUUAGUGGCGAACGGGUGAGUAACACGUGAGUAACCUGCCCUUGACUCUGGGAUAACUGCUAGAAAUGGUAGCUAAUACCGGAUACGACCCUCGGAGGCAUCUCCAGGGGGUGGAAAGAAUUUCGGUCAAGGAUGGACUCGCGGCCUAUCAGCUAGUUGGUGAGGUAACGGCUCACCAAGGCGACGACGGGUAGCCGGCCUGAGAGGGUGACCGGCCACACUGGGACUGAGACACGGCCCAGACUCCUACGGGAGGCAGCAGUGGGGAAUAUUGCACAAUGGGCGAAAGCCUGAUGCAGCAACGCCGCGUGAGGGAUGACGGCCUUCGGGUUGUAAACCUCUUUUAGUAGGGAAGAAGCGAAAGUGACGGUACCUGCAGAAAAAGCACCGGCUAACUACGUGCCAGCAGCCGCCGCCG
rnacentral:rRNA from 1 species